rnacentral:lncRNA from 1 species
GCUGUACUCUUAAAUACAUUUUCUAAAUCACAACAUUCUGCUUUCAGGGAGAAAUAUGAGUGGGCAAGUGGCAUCAGCAUUAGGACCUACAAAGCAAGAUUGCUCCCAGGUGGAUGAACCUGUGGUUCCCAGUGUUGAGCAACCUCAACAAGAGGAACCGCCAGCUGAGAUUCAGGAUAUCACACCUAGAAAGGAGGAAGUACAUGUAGAGGAUCCAGUGAAUCGUGAUGAAGAAGAGGAGAAGGAUCCUUUGAAGAUUCUGGCCUGGAAGCUGAUCUCCAGCGAUUGGCUCUGGCAAAGACUGGGGGUGAAGGUGGAGAUGGUCCCGAUGUCAGGGAGGAGUUUGCAUCAAAUAUAGAGCCUGUUGAAAUGCCAGAAGCAGGUGAAGGGCAGCCAUUUGCUUGAAAGAAGAUAAACUGAAACCAUCUAUGCUGUUCUUAUAUUGUGUAUUUGACUAUUAAAUUUCGGUCAAUAAAGUUUCAUUUUCUACUUGCA